rnacentral:rRNA from 1 species
GGUAAUAAACCGGAGGAAGUGGGGAUGACGUCAAAUCAUCAUGCCCCUUAUGACCUGGGCUACACACGUGCUACAAUGGUUGGUACAACGAGUUGCGAGUCGGUGACGGCGAGCUAAUCUCUUAAAGCCAAUCUCAGUUCGGAUUGUAGGCUGCAACUCGCCUACAUGAAGUCGGAAUCGCUAGUAAUCGCGGAUCAGCACGCCGCGGUCGAAUACGUUCCCGGGCCUU